rnacentral:tRNA from 1 species
AGCUCAGUGGUAGAGUGCUUGCCUUGCAUGCAUGAGGCCCUGGGUUCAAUUCCCCAG